rnacentral:rRNA from 1 species
CUCCUGGUCUCUGGCCUGUCCAGUCACCCCCUUCCAGUAUCCAGUAGUGGGUAUUCAGUUACUUACUAUUGUGUGUUGGUCGUUUACUGUGAGAAAAUUAGAGUGUUCAAAGCAGGCGUUUGCUUGAAUAGAUUAGCAUGGAAUAAUAAUUGAAGGCUUUCGUGUUCGAUUUGAUUGGUUUGUUCAUGGAAGCAAGGUUAAAAGGAACAGUUGGGGGUAUUCAUAUUCACUAGUUAGAGGUGAAAUUCUCGGAUUUAUGGAAGAUGAACAAGUGCGAAAGCAUUUACCAAGGAUGUUUUCAUUAAUCAAGAACGAACGCUAGGGGAUCGAAGAGGAUUAGAUACCCUCGUAGUCUUAGCUAUAAACGAUACAGACUAGGGGUUAGUAGAGGUCAAAGUGUCUUUAUUAGUACCUUAUGA